GUCCUCGUGGCAGAUAAAUGCGCUAAGUUUAAGCCUUAGAUAUCCUCUCCUACA
rnacentral:tRNA from 1 species